UACAGAGGGUGCGAGCGUUGUCCGGAAUCACUGGGCGUAAAGGGCGCGUAGGCGGCCUGAUAAGUAGGGGGUGAAAUCUUGCGGCUUAACCGCAAGGCUGCCUUCUAAACUGUCGGGCUCGAGCACAGUAGAGGCAGGUGGAAUUCCCGGUGUAGCGGUGGAAUGCGUAGAGAUCGGGAAGAACAUCAGUGGCGAAGGCGGCCUGCUGGGCUGUUGCUGACGCUGAGGCGCGACAGCGUGGGGAGCAAACAGG
rnacentral:rRNA from 1 species